GGGGCGGGCGCGCGGGCGGGCGGGCAACGGCUAUUCGCGGCGGCAGCGCCGGGGCUGGAAGUUGCCGAGUUUCAGCGUUGCAGAAAUGGGGAAGCGAGCGGAGCCAAAAUGCCCCCGGGGAGCGCGGCCCCGCUGGGAAGGCGGGCGGAGGAGGCCCAUCCUCCCUCUGCUCCGCCGGCUCCCCCUCCCCCGCAGCCAGGCCCCUCCCGGGCGCGGGGCUGCGGCGGCCCCGCGUCUCGCUUGGAGCCAUGUCGGCGCUGGGGCGCUGCGCGCUGGCGGCUCCCGUGAGCGCCGCGGCUGCCUGCGACGUUGUGCCCCGGGGCGAGUUCACAUGCUGCGUGUUUUUUAGGGAAAAAAAGAAAAGAAAAGAAAAGAAAAAGCACAGCCGCGCUGCUGUCGCUGUGUGGCCAGGCUGCGCUGCGCUCGGGGCUGGGCGGCCGGCGGUUGCCAUCUCCGCGGGGAUGACGGGCUGGCAAAGCGCUCUCGGUCUUGUAUCUUAAAAAAAAAAGGGGGGGGGGAAACGGGCUUAAUAACGAUUUUGUUAAUUAUCCCGGCUGCUAGCUAAACCAGGCCCGCGGGACUGGUGAGUCUUCCGGCUGCUGGGAGCAGCGGCGAGAGAAGGAGCGUUGCCAGCGUGAGGACGAGCAGGCGAUGGCGAUGCUUGAACCUGUGGCCGUACUGGAGGUAACGCGCUGGCGGAUCAAUAACCCGCCGAAGGUUCGUGAAAGGCUGCGGUAUGGUGCGAGGCCUGAGGAGCGAUUAAAGCUCCUAAACGAGCGAAUGUUGCACUCCCUUAGCGGUGCCGGAUAGACCUUCCGAUCUGUGUCGUAACUAUUCGCUGGCUGCUCACAGUCAAAAAAAGGAAAGAAAGUAAAAAACAAAGCAAGUUCCCUCUGAUUAUUACAUUUUUUUAAAUCUCUGUCUAACGAGGGAAGGGGGUUAGAGGUGCCUAAUUAGUUGUCUUUAUGAUUUGCAAUGCAGCUGUGCUUUUUCAGGUCGGCUUGGGGCCUUGUAAGAAUGAGCGUAUUUGUAGACAAUGAGAGUGAAUUUAACAGUGAUCGAUGUAAACAGGGAAAGCUGUCAUUUCUUAAUGCACACAGUUAUUAACUAAUGGGGCCUGUCAAGCAGAGCCAAAAGUACGUUUUGAAAAGGUAUAGAAACCAGACAAAAAUAUUUUGCGAGCAAAGAACCUGAAGCUCUCCGCCACGUAACUUUUAACCAAAUUCAAUAUAAAAGGUGUUUCUGCGCAGCUGGGGGCAGCGGGGGGACUGAGUUUGGGUUUUUUACAUGUGUGUUUGCAAGGCCCACGAGCCUGGUUUAUGAGCCUCCUGCCUGAGCUUUGUGCUUGGCAUGGGGAGAAGGCUCGCUGCAGCUUCCCCUCUGCUUUAUCGCCUGACUGUAACCGUGAGAGAAAGGAAGCUAAAAUAUCACAGACUUCCAUAAAGUCAUGUUGUAAAAAGUGAUUAAAAAAAUUGAUUCCUAUAGCAGAUGCCUGGUUUCAAGGCAUUUUGACAUACAAUUAUCACAUGUCCUAAAAAUCAUUAAAAUCAUAAUCUAAUGUGGGUAUAAUCAUCAGGGUAAAUGCAUUCCUUAGUAUAGAUUUUUUUAUAGUAUUAAAAUUGUGCAUACUAGAUUGGAUCAGUUUAUCUCUAAAUACCCUCAUUUAAUAUAUUUCAAAAUGUAUGGGUGUCUCCCUUUCCUUCUUUUUAUGCCAAUAACCAUUCUGUGUUUCGGCUUUAUUUUAAAUCGACACGUCAAAUAAUUGAAAUGGCAAUGAAAUCAUAUCUACCAUCUAAUAAAGAUUUAAAAAUAAAAUGACUUGAGUCUUUUCAUAGUGAUAUAAAAUAUGUAUUGUAAUAACUCUCAUAGGUGGCUCUCACAACAAAGGACUACAUGAAUAAUGUGAUUAACAUUUUAAUUUCCCUUGAUGUUUGUAUAUAACAGUAUACUUAUGAUAUCAUUAAACCUAUAACCAAGGAAUAGAGAAAUUUUAACAGUGAAAGAGCCUGAAAGUAGAGGAAAACUGCCCCGAAUAUUUUGAACUUUCCUGUUCUUCUGGCAACUUGUAACUUUUCCUGAUGCAGCUUAAAAUACAGCCCACAGGAUUAAAAUGUUCUUGGUAUUUUCACAGUAAGAUAAAGAUUAUAUCUUUUAUUUAAUUUUUAUACAGCACCUAGCAAAAUGGAAUCCCGAUCCCUAACUUGGGCCUGAACACUGUGGUAAUACAAAUAAUAUUUAAUAAACAGCUUUUACAAACAUACAGUCCACUUAGCUGUUGAAUUUUGUAGUUCUUUUUACAGAGGAAAUGUGAUGAUUUGAUUUUGUUUUUUUGUUUGGUUGUGGCUUAACAUGUAAAUCACACUGGCUGCAAGAGGAGAUGCGGAAUUAUUUUUGCUUGGUGAUGCAUGUUAAAAUGAGUUUUAAGAAUUCCUGCGGCAGUAAUAAAUAUUCCAUUAAUUUUUCAGACAUAUUCUAACAGUUUUUUUUCCUGUUGCCAUUCAGUGGAGGAUGUUUUUGUUAAGUACGCAAGUGUAGAAAAAUAUUCUUACCUCUGAAUUUUUAUAGUCUUAAAUGUUGUGCUUUCAAAUGGUUCCUUUGAUUUUGUGUGUUCUUGUCACUUUACAUUAUUCUUAAGUAAAAAAUACAUCAGUUUUGCUUUGUCACUGAGAUUUAAUGCUUUUUAUGGGGUAUUUCUACUAUGGAAGUUCUGCAUUAAAAAAGAAAUAAAUAAAUUAUUUUUCUUCAGAUUUAAUUGUGAGAGUAAAAGAAACCUCAUAGAUUAUUUUAAUCUGAUAAUUUGUUUUAACAUCUGAUAGUUUCUUGAUUUACCUACUCUUUUUGCAGAUGUUAAGUGUCCCGUUGUUUUAUUUUGUGGCUUUCAAGUGUGAAUAUUCACAAAUGUUCAGUAAGAAUAAUUUUGUAUGAAAGCAAGAAUAAAGUUUAAUGGAUUUUGCUGUUAAUAAAGUUGACACAUAAAAUUUACAAUCAGGUAUGGACUAAGCCCAAGACUUUUUUUUGCCCUACUUGGCACCUUGUCCUGAUUUUUUUUUUUUUCUUUUUCUUUUUGCUUACCGCAAAGGUAGUCAGCACUCUAAGUAUCCAAAUACAGGUAUGUUAGAGAUAACUCUCUUGAAUCAUUGGUUACUUUUGGGAAAUAGGAACAUCAUAUCUUUGAUCUCUUCUUGAUUUUUGUAUAUCUUGAUACAGUUUUUUUUAAUUAUCAUUAUUAUUAUUAUGUCUGCCCUAAUACUUUGUAUCAAUUAUCAGUGUAGUUUAAUUUCUUGCAACCAAAAAGUACAUUACUUCAAACGUAAUGGCUGCACUUCCUGGUAUGAAAAUGCUUUCUGUUUUUUUGUUAAAUCUGGCCUUUAGGGUUUGUAAAUUAAGUGACAAGUUGAACAAUUUAGCUUCAUACUACUUUUUCUUAAAUAUUUGAAGCACUAUAUUUGGGGGAGGGGUGUUUUGGGAGCAACAUAAAGCAUUGACUAAACUUUCUUUUUUUUUUCUUUUUUCUUUUUUUUUUUUCUUCUCAAAUCAGAAGUAUGAUCACCAGUUGCUUGCCUUUUUGUGGCUGUUGGUUCUCAUUCUUGAAACUAACCAUUAAUUUUUCAAGACUGAGAAGAGAGCAAUUUUACUUAUGAAGCCAGCCGACCUUUUUUGUUAUUGUCUAUAUUAAAUAUCUGCAAGAAGGACCAAAUAUGCCAAAAUGCAAUACAAGUAAAUUCCUUCUGCAGUUUUAAACAAUAUUUUACAAUAUAAUUAUGAUUAGCUUCACAACAAAAUCCUCAUAAAUACUCACUUGUUUACACUUUGUGCCAAGAAUCUAUUCCUUCUGCAUUGGUAACUUAGAUGAACUUUCAGCUAUAGAGUUUCUACCAAAUGCUUAGCCAAUGUGUAUUCUACCCAUAUCAGAUAUUAAAUACUGAACUGUUUGCUUUAAUCCUUUACUUUUAUUUCCUUUAUAAUAUACCCAUUACCACAGAACUCGGAUGUCUUCCCACUCAAACCGAAACACACCAUUUCGUCUUUCACUUUCUCCUGUCCAUUGGUGAAAAAAAUUCAUAUUAACCAGACUACCAUCAAUAUUGACAAAUAAACAUUUUGUAAAAGCAUACAAAUAGCUUAACCCCGACAGACAAGUUUCUAAAUGUUAUCAUGUGUGGGUAGAAGAGUAAAGCAAAAUUAAGUCACUUACAAAAACAUAAUUCAUUUUUGUGUAAAAAUAAAUAACAAUCCCUGAAUCUGCCAUCAAGCUGCUGAAAUUUUACAGUUUGAGCAGCAAAUAAGUCUAGAUAAAAUUCAUCAAAUAACCCUAAACACCUCUUUAGUCUGCUGUUACCUAAAAAAAUGUGAAUUGCAGCUACAAUGAUAUUCUUGUGGUUUCACUGUUACAUCUUUGAGUGAAUAUGAAAAAUUUCCAUUAUCAAGAGAAAUUAAGAAUUAGAGCUAUGUAAUUCCUACUGAAUAAAGGAAUUCUGAUGGUUUAUUUUUAUUUAUUUAUUUAUUUAUUUAAGUCAUGUAAUUUGUGCUCCAGUGUUUUGCAAAAGACCUUCAAUUGAAUUUACUGGAUCAGUUUGACAGGACAACUUUGUACGCUGAAUACAUUCCCUAAUUGUCCAAAGAAAUUUAAGAAAAAGAUUUAACUGCUGUGCUUAAUUGUUCAGUAUUGCACUGUUCUUCACAGAGAAUCUUGGAUAUUUGCCAGGUUCAGUUUCACAUCCAUUUGAGGCCUCCAAGGUUAUUUGAAAAGUCUAAGGAUUAUGGUUUUUUAAGUGUUGCUUUCAAAAAAUUUAUAUACAGGGUGCCUUUUAGAGGAGAUCUACUCCAUAAUGAAUAUCUAGUAGAAAAAAAAAUGUUUACUGUGUUGCUUUAGAGAUUGGCAGUUAUUUUCUUAGGUCAUUUCUUCUAGAAAACUUUUGAAAACAUUUGCUGUUACUAUACCUAUUAACAGAGAUAUAUUGUUUUUAAUUAAAAUAUGCUGAUGAGACUUCUGUUGAGCAGAAGAAUCCCAAUAUUGCAUUUUAAAUCUCAGUGACAAAUUUUGUUUGAAUUGAUAACAUAAAUUGCAAAGUUUAUUAAUAGACACAUUUUAAUAGUGUCUUUCAGUGACUGUCAUUAUUUAUCCUUACAUUUUUCAAAAUGAAAAGCUAGAUUUCUGUUUGAGGGCCAUUUGGUAUUUGGUAUGUGAUUUUUAAAAUAACAGUAGUAGCCUAUUAGAAAUGCAACUUUUAAAAAUACAGAUGAGGGUUUUUUUGUCUAACUCUUCAGAGUGGGACUGGUUACCAGUUGCUUUGGUAUAGAUUUGGAAUUUCUCUGAAGCUGAUAUAAUGGACUAUUACGGAUUUACAUCAAUAUAAUAACUUGAGAGAAUCUGUCAUAAUGUAUAUAGUGUGAUAUACUUGUUAAUAUGUAAUUACAAGAAAGGUGGAAGGAAAAAACUUUACAGAUACUCUUUAUGCAAUUUAGAUAAAAACAAAGGAGGUCAGGAGAAGUAUCAGAGAGACAUACCUAGACAAGAUAUGAGCAAAAUAAUGCUAAAUAAAAUUUGAUGUUGUUAUAUUCAAAAUUCUCUACUGGAAGAAAUAAUCGUGCUCCUUCUGUAGUCCUAAAUCAAUAUAUAAAAAAAAAAGCUAGACUCAAUAGGCAGUAGUAAAUCUUUUACAAAGACAAAUUUAUAAUAUAUCCUAAUAUUAAAAAUACAGGUUUUUUUUUUUCUAGAACUCUAAUAUGAAACCAACAACAUAAACCAGUGAUGCACCUUGUUUUGGAACACUGUGGUGAGUUUUUCACCUUAUUGCCAAAGAAUUAGAGUUCAGCGAUAGAUAAGGAAAAUAGUUAAGAUGGAAGAAAAAAUAUUCUAACUAUUAUACUUGUUCUAAGAUCAAGCAAAUGGAAUAAAUUAUUUGAAGGAGGUAAUAUCAAAAGUACAGAAUAGAAAAUACCUGUUAAGGAGAAGAUGAAGCAGGAUCUUCUGAGAACUUCAGGAUAUAGUUCAAGAAUGAAAAUAGGUGAAAGAUUCCAAAUUAAAAAUGAUGUUUUUUCUCCUGUCAUGAAGUAUAGUCAUCCUGUCUCUACUUUUGCCUCUGAAAUCACUCAGGCAAAGAUUUUAGCAGACUUCAGAAAAACUGACAUUUAUACAGAUAAGAAUAUCCAGUGAUAGUACAAAUACAGGAUUAGAUGGAUCAUUGGUGUGAUCCAAUACAGCAUUGCUGUGUUGCUAGCUUUAAGACAACGAUCAGUUUUUCCUGAGUGUUUCCUUCUAAUGUUGUUUAACAUUUCAUUCAGAGCUGUGAAUUUCUGUAUCUCUGUAGCAGAAAUACCUGUUUUCCCCAAAAUAGCAAUGAUGUAGGACCAAAAUUUGCACUUACAGUAAAGAUUUUAGUGCUGUUAGCAUUGAACCAUUUGGCUGACAGUGCCUACGUUGUGUAGCGUAUGUGAUUUGUCAGUCAUCCACAAAGUACACAUCACUGAGAUUCUGAUUUCCAUUUAUUGUUCAGUCUUUUGAGAAAAUUCUGAGCUGUUGAUCUAGAUUUCUUAAUGUUUUGUAUUCCUCUAUAGCAUACACUUGGUGCCUUGAAAUGAUUUUUUUUCCUUUUUGAGUUUGCCUAGACCUACUGCAGCAAAGUUUUGAUAUGCCAAGUAGGCAUGGUUUACUAAUUGAGAUAUAAACUGUGUAAGGUAGCUGCUGAUUUAAAAUCACUGAAUCAGUCUCUUGAUUUUACAGAUUUUAGAGUACAGGAGACAGUAAGUGUGAUUAGACCACAGGUGACCCUUGUACCACAGGAUGCUUGUUAGGUGUUUUGUUUGCUUCCUCAUUUUUAACCUAAUACUAAUUUAAGAUGGAGACUUGUAUGUGUGCUUCUCUUUCCCCAGGUGAGAACUCACCACAAGGUUAAAAGAUUGUGUUCACUCUAGCCCAAUUAAUCUUGAGUUUUUCCAUGCAGAAUAAAGCAGCUUAAAUAGUGGAGGCUAAGAAUAACCCCCUUUCAAGGAUAUCUACCAGGUGGCUAGACCACUCUCUUAGGAGGCGCAAAAUACUGUUUUCCCCUUUCCUGUGGAAGAAUUUGAGCUGAACUUGGACCUUCCACGCACACACACCUGACUGGAAUAAAACUACGGAGUUGGUGGAGAAAAGGCACAACUGCUAUUUUGCUUGGGCCUUGGCUGCUCAGACCUCAAGAUCGAAUAAAAAAGAAGGAACUGAACUUGAUCUUUCAGCAUGAAGUUUCACUACUACUAAUUGCCUCUCAGUAGGCCCAUACAGAUCUGAGCGAUAAAGUAAAACACCAAAUUCUUGCAAGCUGAGAAAUAAAAAGAGCAGAGGUAAGAAAUAAUCCUAUAUGAUCUAAUACAAUUCAUAAAGAUUGUUAAGGAUAGGGAAGAACAAGAGGAGCUGUUCUAUUCAGCUGCAAGAGGAAUUACCCAUAAGAAAUCUGAGUAACCGAUAGAAAAUAGUAUACUGACUUAAAGGAUCAUAGGCAUCCUGUUGGUCACAUGUUCACCAAAACUUAAUCUUUAGGACUCAGAUUAAAUCUUAAAUUUCAACAGAUAGCUAAGCUUAAGAGAAUUCUGGAAAACUUGUUUUGUGCAAACAUAAAAGAGAGUUGCCUAAUAAACUACCAAAAAUAUUUCUUGCAAAGCCUGCCAGUUGGCAGCUUUUGAGUUUUGGUUUUGCUGUUUUUAAGGCAUGAAUAAGGAAUGAAGCAGUAGCAGAUGAAUGAACAGAAGUCAGGGCAAGUCACCUGUGCUGUAGCAAACUCCAGAACAAGACAUAAAGCCAUUUAAAAAUUGAAAGACAAAAGAAAAGGAGGGGGGGAGAGGGAACAGUCCCCUAAUAUACUGAAAAAGAGUUACACCAGCUUUCCGUCCUUCAGCUAAAUGUCUGAGUUAAGGAAGAGUUGAUUUAUGCCAGUAUUCAUAAUGAGUAACUUAAGAUCACAGAGGUUCCACCUGAAGUUAUAAUAUUGAUGUUUCUGGUUACUUAAACAUCACAGUAGUUCCUUAAGACCCAGCAGAACAUUUGCUUUUCUCAGAUUCUUGAUAACAGUAACCCUUUGGCCUUUUCAUUCAUUAGAAGAAUGCCGAAAAAUGCAUUUUUCCAUGUUCUAAGUAUUGCAUAUUCACAUUGCUACUUCUUGCCAGCUUUGCAAGGCAACCUUAAAAGUAAGUUCUUAGGCCAGACAGACUUAUCCCUCCUUAUUUUAUUCCUCAGAACCAUUACAGAAAAGUUACAGAAAGAUCAGAAACUCCUGUGUUUCAGAUAAUUGAUUUGUGCCUUUCACGGUUUCUAUCAGCUGUAAAGAAAUGUGAAGAUCAUAAGACCAUUUCUUUUCUUCAUCAUAGUUAUUAUGUAAAAAUUAUUUUCAAAGUAGUAAACAUUCUAAAAAAUAAUCAGGAAGAGGUAAUCACCUCCCAUUUUUUAAAAAAGCAUUUCCCAAGAAAUUCUAAAAACCUGGCAGCACCUCAGCUUUCUGCUUAUUCCAAUGAAGUUCAUUUUCUUUUGAAAUCCUUUUUGAGCCUAAAGAAAACAGUCCAAAUUAGAAGUCUUCAAUCACAUUCCUUUCUUUGAGUCUUUUAAUCUAAACUAAAUAAUUAACAUAAGUAAAAUAAGCAAACACUUCAACUGAAACUGGCUUUUGGAUUUAUGGUCCACCACUCUCACUACAUGCAACAUUUUAACACAUUAAAAAAUAAGUAUAGCUCUGAAAUAGGUUGUCUAUGUAAAUUCCCAACCCUUGAAUUUUUUGGUUACCAGCAUCCUUGGAUUCUUGUUCUUCUUGUAGUAGAACAGCAUGUGUGGCACAAACCUGAAUGCCUCUCAGUUCAUUCACUGUUGAGUGUACCUAAUAUUAUAGGACUCUCCACAGUUGUGCAGCUAAUGGAAUAUUUAUAGGCAAUAAAAUUUUGAAUUCCAGUGUGCAAAAGGUAAGGAGUACUUGUUGCUGUGUUCCUCAAUCUUGAAUUGUAUCAAUACUAGUAAACUGAACAGUACCAGUAAACUGAACAGUACCAGAGCCCACUUUAUUUCCGAGGAAAAUUGCCAUGCCCUGGCCAUGUCCAUAUUAUUAAACUCUUGUAACCACCAAAACAGGCUACAUAUAAACUGUCAGCUGAGGCCGUGCUAAUCCAUGAACCAUGCCAAGGACUGCUUGGGAGAAUGCUGGUUGGCCUGGGCCAAAAGCAGGGACUAUGGGGACAAUUUAAUUGCAUAGGCAGCUGGGUUCAAGUGCCUAGCCCCAAGCCCUGGCACUGUUUAAUUUGCUAGUAUAGCCUUCAUGAUUCACAAUCAGCAACUUGAAGUAAAGGGAUGUGUGUCAGCAUGUGCUUAAAACAAAAAGGUCACCAUUGUCAUUUACUUCUAAAAGUCAGAUCUGUCUUUUUAUUGAGGUAUGAUAUGUAGAAUAUGGACUGAGCCUGUAACUGUACAUAUCCAAAACAGAUGUGCUUUUUUAGGAACCUUUACAGGCUGAGCUAAAUCCUAGCUUGUUUGUAAUAAACACUAAUACAUGUCAGUACUUUUUUUUGCACAGCCUCUGAAUUAUUUGAUUCUUCAUUCUGUCCAGCAAAUAAAGACAUAGCUCUGAAAUGCUUGGAUUUUUCUGAUAAAAUGAGAACUUGAA